UUUCAAUUUCAUUCCCUAGUCCCUACCGUAUUUGCAAAGCCAUGUCACAGAUUCUCAUUUGUCUACCCCAAAUAUAGCUGUCAAAUGGUCCGUCCAGGGACCAUUGGGCGUGUCCGUAUGGACAGUUUUUUUUAUGGGCCAAGUUGGACGGUCCAUAAUGGACAAUGGUCCGAAAAAUGUCCAUGCCCAAUAAAGACCAUGUCCAUAUGGGCAAGCCCAUGUAUAGCCCAUUUUAUUAUUGAUAAAUCAAAAAUCAUGAUUUUAAAGAAUUGUGUUUUUGCAUUUUGCAUUUUUCCGACAAAACGGUAAAAUUGUGUUUUUCUUACCAAUACAAUAAAAUCACGAUUUUGGCGGAAAAAUUAUGAAAUUGUUUUUUCCCGCCAAAACGGUAGAAUCGUAAAAUUGUUUUUUCCCGCCAAAACGAAGAAUUGUGUUUUCUCACCAAAACUGUAAAAUUGUGUUUUUCGCCAAUAUAAUAAAAUCACGAUUUUGGCAGAAAAAUUACGUUUUCCCGCCAAAACCGUAAAUUCGGAGAAUUGCGUUUUCCCGUCGAAACUGUAAAAUUGUGUUCUCGCCAAUAUAAUAAAAUCGCGUUUUAGAGGAAAUUUGCGGAAUUACGUUUUUCCGUCAAAAUCGUAAAAUCGGAGAAUUGUAUUUUUCCCUCAAUUCAUGCCCAUGGGCAGCCCAUUGUCCAUAUGGUCAAGCCCAUAUUAUCCGCGGACAAAACUGGUCAUAUGCCCAAUUAGACCAUUUGUUUUAUGGUCCGGAAUAUAGCCCGUCCAUAUGCAUUUGGACUGGGCAACCCCAUGGGCCGCCUGUCCAAUUGACAGUUCUAACCCCAAAGAUGAGAGAUUCAUGAAUUUUUCACAUCUCUUGAAAAUUAGGGUAGCUUCGGUUCGGGAUAUCUUGAUUAUCCAAAACAAAUAGAAAACUAUUUCUCUCAUCAAAUUGAGUUUUUUUCUCUAUAAUUGAGUUUGUCAUCAAAUUGAGUUUUGCAAGGCUAGCUCCGUUUUAACAUAUAUAUAU
rnacentral:sRNA from 1 species